rnacentral:rRNA from 1 species
UGGGGAAUCUUCCGCAAUGGACGAAAGUCUGACGGAGCAACGCCGCGUGAGUGAUGACGGUCUUCGGAUUGUAAAGCUCUGUUAAUCGGGACGAAUGGUUUGUGUGCAAAUAGUGCAUAGACAUGACGGUACCGGAAUAGAAAGCCACGGCUAACUACGUGCCAGCAGCCGCGGUAAUACGUAGGUGGCAAGCGUUGUCCGGAAUUAUUGGGCGUAAAGCGCGCGCAGGCGGACUAGCCAGUCAGUCUUAAAAGUUCGGGGCUUAACCCCGUGAUGGGAUUGAAACUACUAGUCUAGAGUAUCGGAGAGGAAAGUGGAAUUCCUAGUGUAGCGAUGAAAUGCGUAGAUAUUAGGAAGAACACCAGUGGCGAAGGCGACUUUCUGGACGAACACUGACGCUGAGGCGCGAAAGCCAGGGGAGCGAACGGG